GUGGGGAAUAUUGGACAAUGGGCGAAAGCCUGAUCCAGCCAUGCCGCGUGUGUGAAGAAGGUCUUCGGAUUGUAAAGCACUUUAAGUUGGGAGGAAGGGUAGUAAGUUAAUACCUUGCUGUUUUGACGUUACCGACAGAAUAAGCACCGGCUAACUUCGUGCCAGCAGCCGCGGUAAUACGAAGGGUGCAAGCGUUAAUCGGAAUUACUGGGCGUAAAGCGCGCGUAGGUGGUUUUGUAAGUUGGAGGUGAAAUCCCCGGGCUCAACCUGGGAACUGCCUCCAAAACUGCAUGACUAGAGUACGGUAGAGAGUAGUGGAAUUUCCUGUGUAGCGGUGAAAUGCGUAGAUAUAGGAAGGAACACCAGUGGCGAAGGCGACUACCUGGACUGAUACUGACACUGAGGUGCGAAAGCGUGGGGAGCAAACAGGAUUAGAUACCCCUGUAGUCC
rnacentral:rRNA from 1 species